ensembl:lncRNA
CCUCACUGAGGGCCAGACGGCCACAGCCUGGCAAGAAAGGGCGAUGCUGGUGGGCAGAGCGCUGUCCCUUGGGCUGGGUGCUCUGUGUCACUCCCCUUGCCAGCCUGGGGAUGCGGGCAAGACAAGGAUGGCCCUCUGAUUCACCUCGGUUUCCCCAAACCAGUGCGGGACCUGGCCUGGAGGAGGGGCUGGGUGAAAAGCUGGGGGUGAGUGAGCGAUGAGCGAGCGUGUGAGCACAUGAGUCAGAUCCACCAGGAUUUACUGAGUGCCCAUUAUAGGCCGAGCAUCACGCAGUGAGACAGGAGUGACAAUGGCCUUGUCCCUGGCCUCACAAAGCUUAUAGUCCGCUGGGGUGGGAUAUGAAACAGCACAAAGAGAGACAUCAUGGAAGGCCUGUUGGCUGUGGCAAGGAAUUUGGGAUUUAUCCUGAGUCUAACUGAAAGCCACUAAAAAGUUCCAACAGGGACAGAGGUGAGCAGACCAGCACUUUCUUAAAUGACUCUGGCUGCUGUGCGGAGAAUGGAUGGAAGGCGGAGCCAGUGCAGAGGCCACCACAGAGUGGAGCCUGGGACAUGGGGAGCUGGGCAUGCCCUGGAGACACCCAGGUCUAGAACAUCACCGCUAACGUCGUGCAGUUCCAGGGAGAGAGCAGCAUUGGCGGGAAGGGAUGAAGGCAGUGUGGGGCAGACUCCGGGGCGGAGGAGGGGGCGGGGCACGGAGGCGGCCUGGGAGCCCCUCCCUCUGUCUGUUUGCACAGCUGUCCAGGCCGAGCUGGCAGGGUGAGUCACAGGCUGGCACUCCACCUCCUCCACCUCUAGGGGAGGGCAACUUGGUGACCCUGGCCUUGGGGACCCUCCUCCUCUCUCCCUCCUCCCCUGCCUCUCUGAGCCCCACGAACUGUGCCCCUGUGCCCUCUCCUCCCAGCCACCUCCCAAGGCCUAGAUCUGGUUUCCCAGAUCCCCUCCACUCUGUCACUUUCCCCCCUGGAUGCACGGCCCUCCUCUGUCCCUCAUGUCCCAUCCCAGCUGCAUUAGAGUCACUCGUUUCCAGUCCCUGCAAGACGGCGAGCAGUUGAGGACACACUGUGGGCAGCUCUGGACACAUCUUUCCACUCUCUCGUCCCGCACACACUCAGUGCUUAAUGAACGUUCGGUGCAUUGAAUUAAACCUGCUUGAUUCACAUUUCUUGAGCUGGGAGGAAGAUCCAUCUCUUUCUCUGAUCUGACGGUGCUCAGGCUGGGGCAGGGUGGGGGACUUCUUCCCUGGGAGACCUGCCCCAGCUCUGGACGAUUGAGGAAGAUUUUUAUCACCAGGUUCCUAGUCUGCAAAAUGCCCCACCCAGCCUGUCUCCCAGCCCCCAGCCCCCUCCCCAGGUGCACAGAGAUCUCCCCUCUGGGACUCCCACUGCGCUAGCCUGGGGCCAAAGGCACAGUGUCUCCUGCCUGGGAAAGAGAGGGCCACCCUCCCUCAGUGUCAGUGACGGUUUACCCACUCGGCUUCCUGUUAGGUUUCUCCUUCCUUCCUUCCCCACCAGGCAUCUCUAAUCUUAAGCUUCUUAGGGG